rnacentral:rRNA from 1 species
GAUGAACGCUAGCUACAGGCUUAACACAUGCAAGUCGAGGGGCAGCAUGAGAGUAGCUUGCUACUCUUGAUGGCGACCGGCGCACGGGUGCGUAACGCGUAUCCAACCUGCCGUGUACUCCGGGAUAGCCCUCUGAAAGGAGGAUUAAUACCGGAUGUGGUCGGGUGAAGACAUCUUUUCCCGAUUAAAGAUUUAUCGGUACACCGAUGGGGAUGCGUACGAUUAGGUAGUCGGCGGGGUAACGGCCCACCGAGCCUUCGAUCGUUAGGGGUUCUGAGAGGAAGGUCCCCCACAUAGGAACUGAGACACGGUCCUAACUCC